rnacentral:rRNA from 1 species
UACGGAGGGUGCAAGCGUUGUUCGGAAUCACUGGGCUUAAAGGGCGCGUAGGCGGGCUGUCAAGUCUGGGGUGAAAUCCCACGGCUCAACCGUGGAACUGCCUAAGAUACUGACGGCCUCGAGGGAGGUAGGGGCGAGCGGAACGGGUGGUGGAGCGGUGAAAUGCGUUGAUAUCACUCGGAACUCCGGUGGCGAAAGCGGCUCGCUGGACCUUUUCUGACGCUGAGGCGCGAAAGCUAGGGGAGCAAACGGG